rnacentral:rRNA from 1 species
CACUCCUGCGGGAGGCAGCAGUGGGGAAUUUUGGACAAUGGGCGAAAGCCUGAUCCAGCCAUGCCGCGUGCAGGAUGAAGGCCUUCGGGUUGUAAACUGCUUUUGUACGGAACGAAACGGCCUUUUCUAAUAAAGAGGGCUAAUGACGGUACCGUAAGAAUAAGCACCGGCUAACUACGUGCCAGCAGCCGCGGUAAUACGUAGGGUGCAAGCGUUAAUCGGAAUUACUGGGCGUAAAGCGUGCGCAGGCGGUUAUGUAAGACAGUUGUGAAAUCCCCGGGCUCAACCUGGGAACUGCAUCUGUGACUGCAUAGCUAGAGUACGGUAGAGGGGGAUGGAAUUCCGCGUGUAGUAGUGAAAUGCGUAGAUAUGCGGAGGAACACCGAUGGCGAAGGCAAUCCCCUGGACCUGUACUGACGCUCAUGCACGAAAGCGUGGGGAGCAAACAGGAUUAGAAACCCUUGUAGUCCCAUG